UACGUAGGGUGCGAGCGUUGUCCGGAAUUAUUGGGCGUAAAGAGCUCGUAGGCGGCUUGUCACGUCGGAUGUGAAAACCCGGGGCUCAACCCCGGGCCUGCAUUCGAUACGGGCAGGCUAGAGUUCGGCAGGGGAGACUGGAAUUCCUGGUGUAGCGGUGAAAUGCGCAGAUAUCAGGAGGAACACCGGUGGCGAAGGCGGGUCUCUGGGCCGAUACUGACGCUGAGGAGCGAAAGCGUGGGGAGCGAACAGG
rnacentral:rRNA from 1 species